GCCGAAGCCGUCAAUAGCAUGACGCCAUGUUGAACUUGUGCUGCAUCACGCGCGAGUACGUUGUCGUCGAGUGGUUCUGAAAUCGCUGCAUUAAGGGCGACUGCAACCAAGCGUUGUGGCAAGUUACGGUGGGAGCUUCUGUCCGUGCUGUGUGAUUGCGACGAGGGGACUGCCGCCAGCAGCAGCGUAUCGCCGAUAAGCGCCCGAAGUGCUGCGGUUUGCACUGCAUCUUUCAUUGUGAUAUGGGAGAUCGCAACGGACAGAGACGACCAGAUGCAUACGAACGACUACCAGCGGGGAGUGACCUGUGCCAUAUUUCUCUCAACGUCUCAGGUAUUCAAGAAAUGGCAACAGCCAGAAGUCACCAUCUUACCAGCACGUUAUGGGUACACUGUGGCGGCUCCUACCCCUGUGUCCUCCCACCACCCUGUCCUGACUACAUCCACUAGGUAGUUGGGAGCCUUUGGCGGCUUCUGCCACUGCAUCCUGCCGCCACCAUGUCCCGACUAUGUCCACUAGGGAGUUGGCAGCCUUAGUGAUGAUGCCAGCAGGCUGACAGCGGACAGAAAGAUUCGGGUUGCCUCGAAAUUUUACCCAAGCCAUGCCGCACACUCGGGCCAGGCCUCUUGCGAACGACGUAUAACCAGGCUCAACGCAUCAGGGUCGAGGGAGUCCGGAGAUCAAGGCAACCUGCUGUGCAACCAGCGUGCAACCUUUGGUGACCCCUCUACAUGUGCUACCUAUUUCACAGCUGUGCCUCACCUACCAUCUAUCCAAACAGCAUCACCGGCUGUGAUCACUUAUCGAACCAUGGAUGAAUGUUGGGGUGGAGUGAUUUGAACAGACAUUCUAUUUGUCUCUUCAAAUUCUUUGUAACUAUUUCUGUUAUAAUUCAUAUGUGUCUUUAGUAUCUAGUUUUUAAUAGUUCCUUUCUCUUAGAAUUCUCACCAUCAGCCCCUGCUAUUCUAAUGUAUACCUGCCUUUAAGCCCCGUUUCUCGUAGUUAUUUCGUACUUGUGGAUGUAAUUGAUAGGUUAUUAAUUCUUGUUGUACAGAAGGCUAAAAUACGAACUUACAGCAUUUUUUCUUCCUUUGAUAAUCUACAGCACUGCAAUGUGUUCAAAAAAUGUAACAUAACACGGGCUCUGGUGCAGGAUAAAUUUAAGAGCAAUAUAGAGUACUUAUUUCAAGCACCCAUUAUUUUUUAAAAACUCAAGGAUAUAGGAGCACAAGAAAGAAACUAUUGAACUAGAGAAACAUUGGUUCCCCUCAUAAGUCUGGUAAUAAUGUGACUUCUUUCACUGCAAAGAUACUGGUACUCGCAUACAAGGUUUGAGACAUGAAAGCUAUGAUACCCUUGGCAUUUCUCAGUGCUUAUUUGCCACACUGACGAAUGUCAAAGGCAGCAUAGGUUUCAUGCACACAUUGGUUGUAUUACACCUUUUGAGUAUUGCAUUUCUCAAACACACGGGUUUGCAGCAGUGCUUUAAAUAGCAGAUGUAUUUCCUAAUUUUCAGAAUUUGUUAGUGCAAGAGUAACGCUACAGAUCAUGUAAAAAUAAUUUUACAGACUAUAUGUCCAUGGAUGCAUGUUUCUUCUGAUGACGUAGCAGUGCCAUGUGGUCGGGGGAUGAAUGUCUAUUUCAGAUUUAAAUAUUGGCUUCCAGGCCUGGGUUAGUCUCCUACACUGAGUAUUCUAGGUCAAAGCCCAGUUACUAGAGGAAAGUGAAUAAAACUAGGAAUUAUAAACAUCAAAAGAUCUUGUUCGGGACACUAAUGUAACAAUCAGCAAGGUUCUUUGUGCAUUCAUUUCCAGAUUUGCGAGAUUAUAUUUUGACUGGUUUCAUUAAUGCGAGAACAAAUAUUUCUUUAUUCUCAUGCUAGAGUUGGCUGCCCCCAUUCGCAUACAACCCCUUUACAGGCUAAAAAUUAAGUGUAUUAAUAGGCUGUUUUUCGGUUUUGCGCCCUCAGUGUUAAGGGAUGCAAACGGUGACAUACAACAGAAUGCAGAAAAAUGUCUAAGGAAUGCAAGCAGGGCAUGGGACUUUUUAGACAGAUGCAUGUGUGUGCUAUUUAUAAAACUCCCUAUGGUAUGCCUCAAGGAGUUUUGUAACCCUUUGGUAGAAACACUGACACCCACUUAUUAAGAAGAAAUGCUCCUCGAAACAACUUUUUUAAUUUGUACUAGAAAUUUGAAUGUACUGCUAUUCAUAGGCAGUUUUAUGUAGAUUUGAAUUGUCAUUGGUUUUUGUGUAGCUGGUGUUUAGUUAUGUCCUACAUAGUGGCAAUAUAUUUUUAUGGGCACUUGUGUGUAAAAGUUUCGCAAAUGGUUUCAUGCUGUAUCUUAUUUAGCUAGGUGUAUACCGCAAAGUGGUGAUACCUAUCCAAACAGCUUGUACAAUUACUGGAAUUAUGCAAAAAUAUUAGGCCACUUUAAAUAAUUUUUAGAUUGCAAUUUCAAUUAGAUACUGGUAUUCUGCUUAUCUUGAAGAGUAUGUAUGCCAAAUUUAAUUUGUAUAGGACAAUUAUAAAGCAUGAGGUUAUUCUCAUGCUAUUGUGAGAAAAAAUUAUUGAAGUAUUCUCAAUAAUUUUAGUAGCAGGCCUGCCUGCCUGCCUACUAAUCUUGCAUACUUCUAGUAACUUUACGUGCUGUUUGAAUAGAUAUCGGCACCUGGCAGUCUACAGGGAGCUGAGUUAGCUGCAGCACACUGCUUUUUUGUGAAAAUUUAAUACACAAGAAAGUGCCUGCAAAUAUCACUAUGUAUUUUGCCGUUGUAUAGGGCAUAACUCACGAAGCAGCUAAACAAAAACUAAUGGAAUAUAUGAAAUCUGCAUGAAGAACUCUACAAUUGGCUCUCUUUUGAAACCUCUAGUACAAAUAAUAAAAAUAUUUCGAGUAAUAUUCAAUCAGCAAAACGUUCCCCUUGCUACAGUGACCUACAACAUAGCGACGCAAAGCUUAAGGCAAGUCCUCUUGUCGAAGCGAAUAUGGGCUGUCUUCCCAAGGGCUUCUGUUAAAGACGGUGAAUUUUCCUGCAUUUACCAGAAGUGCAAUACUAAAAUGUUUGUGAAUGUGAGAUUGGUAUUGGCACACUAACAGAAAAAAAGACAGUUCUGUGAAAUGUAGACUUGAGACGUGACUUUGUUGGACAUUUAAAUUUUGACUCCAUAUAUUUGUGUUUUGUACUGAGUGUUUCACCGGUGACUGCCACUAAUUAUUGAACAUAACUCCUUCAUGACAGUGCGACAAUUUUCACUAACAUAAAUUUUAGCUGUGGCAGGCAUUAGAAUUGCAGUACUCAAUAACGUCUACUUUGUAAGAACUCAGACUAGCACCAGUUCUGAGAUACAUAUACCCAAAAAGUAAUGAUCAAAUAGAUUUCUUUUCCACACAGAAUUGCCCUACAAGGAUUACAGAAGGCUUUUUGGCAAAGUAUUAUCCGAAAGAGCAAAGCAUGUUCCACCAAGUAUGGUGACAAAUAUUUCAGAGCUGCCAGUCUGAGGACUCCUACAAACUAACAAUGCCUUCAGCACUGACUAGCUUCAAUAAUGGGAUGUCAGUGUUUUGCUAAAAUUAAUGAAACUUCAAUUAUUGUGAUCUUGUUUAAGAAGACAUAUGUAAUUAACAUGCAGUUCUAAUCUCUGUCACUUUUGUAAAUAUUUCCCAAUUAUUUUUUCAGGCUACAAUUUUUGGUUAUAAUGGUAUUCAUUGCAGAAAAAGCUAGUACAUGGCAUUUAAUAAAGAAGGUACUGGUCAUUGUAGAUUUUCUGUCUUCAGCAUUUGUUCUGUUCCACAGCUGUUUCUUGAAAUCUGAAAUGAUGUACCCAUCACUUUGUUAGUGAUCAACAGGGAAAUCUGUAUGUUUUGUUUAAAAUGGAGCUGAUCAACCCAAUAGUUAGGCUAUUUGCUAAUUAUAAAUUACAAUGAUAAUAGUACAGGACCAUAAGAACAGACUGAUGCUGAAUAACAGCUGUGCCCAGCUACAUCCACGCAGCUUUGCCACACAAUGUGCAUGUGUUCAGAAGAGCCAAAUACCCCAGAGAGAAAGCAACAGUAACUAAUUGUUCGUCAUCUUGUACAAGCAGAUUAUGUGCUAUAUGUAAAUCAUGCUCAGUAAAUACAUAAGUCAGUCAUGUGAGGUGUCUCACUUUUGGUUGCAAGUUGGAACUUAUUGCAAUCUUGGUUGUUUUUAUUUUGUUUCCUUUGUGAGCAUGAGUGACUUAGUUGCCUUGGCACAUAUUAUCAAAACUGUUUCUUCAUCACUGGGAAUCACAAAAUUUCAAUUACACAUAAAAUUUCCAGUUACUGAUAUGGUAGACUUCGAAGUUAAUUCUCUUAUCUACCAAGUAGUUUUAUCAUUCAUAGAAACAUAUCCAUGCAAUGCACAAUGGGACCCCAAAUUAUAAAUAUCUGUUCUUGCUUUCUACCCUGCUCUACAACAUUAUGAAGAUACAAAGCAAAACUAUAAGUUUACAAUUGUCCCCCAUAACCUGAGUUUCGCUUAGAAUUUGAAAAACAAAAUUGACAUCCUGCUAUAGUGUGAGAGUUGCUUUGGGCACCAAGUGAACUGCGUAGCACCUGUGCUAGAAUACACAACAAAGCAGAAAAUCGCACCAGAUUGCAAUGGCAGUGGUAAGUUAAGAAGAGAAAGUUAAGAACAGAUGUUUUAUUUCACGCACCAUUAAUGUGGCUUAUCAUCUGCUCCUGUUUUGUGGGAACGCAUACGUUGGGAAGACAAUUUUUCGCACCAAUCUUACCUUAGUGGGACACUUGAGAAAGGUAGAAAUCAAGAACAGGUAUUCACACUUUGUUGCCCACAGUGUAUUUAUUAUCUGAAUGUGUUUCACUCUACAAAAGGCUACUGUGGUAGAUAAUCGUAAAGACCAAGACAAAAGAAUUAAAAGAAGUAUGUGUCAGUCAUCCUUCCAUGAUCUCCCGUGUUUAUAGAAACACUUCUUUCUGCAUAUGUGCGAAAGUGUAGGGAAGCAUUACAUAACUCAGUCAUGCUUUCCAAGUUAAAAAUCGGAAUAAGGACGAUCACAAGAACAUUGUAUGAGUGAUUUGUAAAUGUGGCAUCUAAUGGAACUUAUUUACGUAUGUGCUGAGGGCACAUUACAGCCAGUGCAUAAUCUGUCUGCUCUUAUAGGAUAGCUUGUGAUGAGUAAAAGAAGCCUUCCUCACAUUUUCCUCUUUGUUUCUUUUGGACCUCGGUGCACCAUGUGUAUUGUUACAGCUGCAUGCAUGCAGCUGGGUAUAGUUUGUGUUCUGCUAACUCCCUUGUCCUCAUUAUUCAUGUGCUAUCUUUGCCGUAACAGAAUACAGCUACCUGUGCUACAUAUUUUGUCAGCGUGUUUGCAUUAUGGCAAGUUUUGUAUUAAUGGUUAUUGCAGUCUGCGAAAUUGUCUGUCAGCUAUUAUACUUCGUCUUGAAAAGUAUGUUUGUCAACAUAAAUAAACAAUUAGUAUAAAUUUUGCUCUAUUUAUUUUUGUAAUAUUAUCUGUUGUGAAGCUUUUAUACACUGUUGCAUGUUGUAUGACAAUAAAAUUGAUGCACAACUUU